rnacentral:rRNA from 1 species
UACAGAGGGUGCGAGCGUUAAUCGGAAUUACUGGGCGUAAAGGGUGUGUAGGUGGUUGAAUAAGUUAGGUGUGAAAUUCCUGGGCUUAACCUGGGACAGUCGCUUAAUACUGUUUAGCUAGAGUACUAGAGAGGAUAGUGGAAUUUCCAGUGUAGCGGUGAAAUGCGUAGAUAUUGGAAGGAACAUCAGUGGCGAAGGCGACUAUCUGGAUAGAUACUGACACUGAAACACGAAAGCAUGGGGAGCAAACAGG